rnacentral:rRNA from 1 species
UACGGAGGGGGCUAGCGUUGUUCGGAAUUACUGGGCGUAAAGCGCGCGUAGGCGGAUCUGCAAGUCGGGGGUGAAAUCCCGAGGCUCAACCUCGGAACUGCCUUCGAUACUGCGGGUCUCGAGUCCGGGAGAGGUGGAGUGGAAUUCCUAGUGUAGAGGUGAAAUUCGUAGAUAUUAGGAAGAACACCAGUGGCGAAGGCGGCUCACUGGCCCGGUACU